GAUGAACGCUGGCGGCGUGCCUAAUACAUGCAAGUAGAACGCUGAAGCUUGGUGCUUGCACCGAGCGGCUGAGUUGCGAACGGGUGAGUAACGCGUAGGUAACCUGCCUCUUAGCGGGGGAUAACUAUUGGAAACGAUAGCUAAUACCGCAUAAAAGUCGAUAUCGCAUGAUAUUGAUUUGAAAGGUGCAAUUGCAUCACUAAGAGAUGGACCUGCGUUGUAUUAGCUAGUUGGUGAGGUAACGGCUCACCAAGGCGACGAUACAUAGCCGACCUGAGAGGGUGAUCGGCCACACUGGGACUGAGACACGGCCCAGACUCCUACGGGAGGCAGCAGUAGGGAAUCUUCGGCAAUGGGGGCAACCCUGACCGAGCAACGCCGCGUGAGUGAAGAAGGUUUUCGGAUCGUAAAGCUCUGUUGUAAGAGAAGAACGAGUGUGAGAGUGGAAAGUUCACACUGUGACGGUAACUUACCAGAGAGGGACGGCUAACUACGUGCCAGCAGCCGCGGUAAUACGUAGGUCCCGAGCGUUAUCCGGAUUUAUUGGGCGUAAAGCGAGCGCAGGCGGUUAGAUAAGUCUGAAGUUAAAGGCUGUGGCUUAACCAUAGUACGCUUUGGAAACUGUUUAACUUGAGUGCAGAAGGGGAGAGUGGAAUUCCAUGUGUAGCGGUGAAAUGCGUAGAUAUAUGGAGGAACACCGGUGGCGAAAGCGGCUCUCUGGUCUGUAACUGACGCUGAGGCUCGAAAGCGUGGGGAGCAAACAGG
rnacentral:rRNA from 1 species